rfam:Plasmodiophora brassicae isolate e3 genome assembly, contig: scaffold_11
GCCCGGUUAGCUCAGUUGGUAGAGCAUGCGUCUAAUAAGCGCAAGGUCAACGGUUCGAGACCGUUACUGGGCA